GAAGUAAGUUAAAACAAGAAUAAGCUUCUAACUUAAUUCUUAAGCAAUGGGAUUUGUUUUUACUUCU
rnacentral:tRNA from 1 species